AUACCUGCGGACUUGGAAGUGUGUUAAUUUUGAGUGCUUGUGAAAUGAAAAGAGGAUUCCGGAAUCAAGAUUUGUUGGCCUGCAAGCAACAAGAAUUUCUUCUUCGGUGGACGCUAGGAAACGUGAAACAACAAUCAGCUAAGGACUAGCUUUGAAAAACAAAAUACGUUACAUGCUAAGGACUAGUUUUGAAAAACAAAAUAAGUUACAUGAUAGUAAACGAUGACGAUGGCUGCUGUUAAAUGGUGUUUGAAAAUUCAGCUAAGGACUUGACUUAGAGGCAAGGGAGUUGUUCUGGUCAAAUAGAUAUCGUCAUAAGGGCGGUAGAGGAAGAGAUGUUGGACCAGUGAAGGAAAGAGGAUUGACCAUUUCAUGCUGUGGGAAUUUGCAUUCUCCAAAAAAUCGCAAUAAUAAAGUAACUGGCAACAAUCCCAACCAGGAACAGUGAAGGGAAUAGGAUCGACAAUUUCCCGCUGUGUGGGAAUUCUCAUGGAAGAGAAGAGGACCCCGACCAUUUCCUGCUGUGGGAAUUCAUCAAAGAGGAAGAAGAGUACGAGAGGCAAGGCAUCAAAGAGGAAGAAGAGUACCCCGACCAUUGCCUGCUGUGUGGGAAUUCACUAUCUCCAAAAAAUGGAAAUUAUAGAAUCAACUGGAAACUAUUACAACCAAGGCUCGCUGUAGUCAUGAUUGAAUAAACAACCAAGGCUCGCUGUAGUCAUGUUUGAAUAAAUAAAAACAAGUCUUGUAAAAAUUAGGAAUUUUAUUAAUUAAAAACAAUUAUCCUAACUACUAAACCAAUUACUUUGAAGACUAAAGUAAGUUUCAAAGUUUUCCACAAAAUGCUUUCUUUGAAUACAUAACUAAUUUUUCAUUCUCUUUAAUACAAAACUGAGGUUUCGUGAAUUUUCUUAAAGGGCCUAGAGUAACCAGUUAAGCUACCGGUACUUUUCUUUCAAGUACUUUAUUCCUUUUUGAUGUCCUACCUCUGGUCCUCUCUUCCUCCUCUUUCGUGUCUUGCCUCUGGUCCUCUCUUUCUAUCUCCUCUUUCAUGUCUUGCCUCCGGUGCUCUCCUCUUCCUCUUUGAUGUCUUGCCUCUGCUACCCUCUUCUUCCUCUUUGAUGUCUUGAC